rnacentral:lncRNA from 1 species
AUUUCAACAAUACACUUGCCAAAAUCCGAAUGCAAACAUUUGUUUCAUUACUUUUACUGUCGUAGCUGUUACUAUUGUCAUACUUGUCUUGCAUAUAGUAUAUAUAGUUGUUUUUAUUUUUGUUCUCGUUACUUUUUUUCGAAUGAUGUCAACCAAACAACAAAUCAAUAAACAAUAAUUGCUGUUGUUGCAGCCUAGAAUCAGAGAUGCUGGUUCUGGAUUAUUGUUGUCAUCGUGUUUUUCAAAAGAAGAGUAGUAUAUGUAAAUGUUGUAUGUUAGUCAGUGUGUGUUAGUUGAGAUGCUGUGUCUGAUGUGAACAGGGGAGAUAGAUCUUUUGACUUUAAGACCUGUUAAAGCAACAUUAAACAAAAAAUUAAAUAAACAGCAAAAAAAAACUGGAAUUGACAAAAAUAAAGUUGAGAAAAAAAUAUAAUAAAAUCAAAAGAAACGAAAUAAAAAUUAGCACACUGUUGUUGGGAAAAAUCAAUAUUGGAAUUGACAAAGUUCAUAAGACAACAACAGCGAUGAUGAAAACAAGAGCAUAAAAACUAAAGAGUCUACUGCUAACUCUCUGUCAUAAAUGGGAACCGUUCUCAAAGAGAGCCAAAAUACUGGAAGUAAAACAAUCCAUUAGAUACAGUUGUCUCUAUCACCCUCAAAUGUGAAUCUAUAAGAUACAAAAACAAACGUGGUUGAAUGGAAAAGAUUGCAAUACAAUAAUAAUGCUCUCACAGAAAAAGGGAGAGCGAAAGAGCGGGAGAAAAGAAUCUGACAGACUGGAUGUUUCGAUGAAUAGCUCUGGCUGGCUGGCGAACAAGUAAGUAAAUUGUAAUUUCUUGCAGUCGUCAGAUAGGUAGUAGACAUUGAACUUAGGCAGCCGUAACAACACAUCACUGAAAAUAAUUUUUAUUAAUAAUAAAUACUCUACUAAACCAAGAACCUGAAACACUACCUACAUAUUAAGAAAAAAAAGAAAGAAACUAAAAUUUUAUAUGUAAAAGAAAAUCUUCAACAAACUCUAGUUUUCUUUUAAAAUAAAGUGCAGGCAAAUUGUUAAUAAUUAAAAGAAUUAUUAAAUAAAUGUGUAUUAAACAAACUUGGCUGAACCUAAGAGAUAACAAUUAAAUUAAUUAAAAAUUUAAAUGAAAAAUGUAUUAUUAAUAAAUCUAAAGUGUUUAUAAAAAAGUUGUGAAAAUAUAUGUUAAACUAGAAAAUAUUAACAGAAAAUCGAAAAUUAUUUAAACAUGUAAAAAUUCUAUUUGUAUUUGGUUAAAAAUUUUAAAUUACAAAAUUUUCCUUUUUCGUGAGAAGUGAAUGAAAAAAAAACACACAAAUGCAAAAUUUUGUGUACCCUUAAAAAACCCCUGGUGCGCGCUGCCCUCCCUAUACUCUAAAUUUAUACAACAACAGCACAUACAAUAUAACAUUACAACAAAAAUAACAACAACAAUAUCCAGAAAAACGGAAUUAAAAUUUUUGAAAGAAACGGUUAUUAUUUAAAAAACAAAAUUGAAAUUAAAAAUUUAUUUUAGUUUUCGAUAAAAGAAAUUGAUUAAAAUUUUGCAAAAUAAGCAAAAAAUGCUUUAAAGUGAAUGGUAUGAAAGAAAAGUAAAAUAAGAAAAAAAGCAAAAAGUGUAGCAAAAAAAAAAGAAAAUGUUUCGAUAUCUUUGAAUUGUAUCUAAACCCAUUUUACUACUCAUACAAAUGAAACAAUUCUCAUGUCACGGUUUAAUUGGAUUCAAGUUGAAUUGAGAGCAGCAACACAACAAACGCGCGGCGUUUCAAGUAUUCCUGUGGUUUUCAUACCCACAACAACAGAAACAGCAACAACAACUACUCAUACAAAUCAAACAAAUUCAGAUAUUGUCGAAACUCUCCUUUUCGGUAAAAGAGAGCACAACAACUUUCCCAUAGUGCUCUAAAUAGGAGAGCAUUUAAAAAAAGCAUAUAAGAGCAUAUUUUCAAAAACUAGUGGAAAUUGUGUACGAAAACAAAAACAACAAGAAGUUCAGAAAAGAGUCGCGUGCGUAUUUUCAUCAACAACAUCAUCGUUAAACAUUUCGAAUAGAAAACCAAAAAAAAAGUAGCAGUAGCAGCAGCAGCAGCUUUAUAACUACACCGCGUUAAGGAAACACCUUGCUUUUUUGGAAACCAAUACUAAAACCUACACUUGCUACAAACACAUACAAAACAAAAAAUCCAAAAAAUUAAAAAAAAAAACGAACCGAGUUUCCUUUUUUCAGACACUCCGACUUGUAACUUGUAAAUUUUUGGAUCUAUUUUGUUUUAAACGGAUUAAUAACUUAUUUCCAUGUUUAAACAUUUGGCCGCAUUGAUUUUUGUGUUUUUAAAAUUUAACGUCUUUUUUUAACAACUUACUAUACAAAAAAAAAAAAAAUGGAGCAUCCUUUAAAGGUAAGUC